GUCCUGUUAAAAUGUGUGGGGGCUUGUGCGCAGAGCUCCUCAACAGCUAGAUAGGCCAAAUCUUUGACACAAGUUUAUCUCCAUAUGUCCUCUGAUGUCAGUUUUGGCGUAUUUACCCAAUCUUCCACUGUGACCCUGAUGAUACCCCACACAAAUAACAGGCAGGAAAAAGAAUAGAGAAAGCAAUGCCAAAGGAGCCACACGGAUAUAAAUUUAACUUUCACAAUUACUUUGGCUCUAAAUCUAGAGCAGACAAAAAUUGGUGGGUGUAUCAUCUUGACUGCAGGGUACAUGGAAAUGCUGGGUUGUCUUGGACAGCUCUGAAUCUAAAACCUCCCAACCAGGGAGAGAGAAUGAAGGCAGAAGCUGACUCCUCCUUUAGCACAUCCCAAAUGGAACAAGGAAAAAGAAAUACAAUCUUUCGCAGCUUAUGAAGGACAGGUGGAACUAGGAGGGAAGUACCUGAGUUGGCCAAUGCCCCAUCCCUAUGCCUUGACAUGGCUCCUUUCCCCAAUUCUAGCUGGCACCAUGCCUAGAUGCCAGUGACUGCUGGACCCAGCAGCUGCUGCUGAACCACCCUUCCACUCUCCUCUCUGAUUCAUUUACCAUUUGGUUCCCUUCUGGGACUCUCUUUCCUUAUCUGAUCAUAUGUAGACUAAUAACCUGCCUAAUAUUCGCUACAGGUAGCAAUUAUUCUCUGUGACGAUAAAUUCCUUAAGGUAGGACAGUAUAUAAGGUCUAAGUGGCAAGAUAUGCUUUUAUCACUUUAAUUUUCAUGUAAAUGUAUAUAAUUCCCAAAAAACCUGAGCUGAGUGGUGACUACUCUCAUCUUGAAAAGCAGAUACAAAAGCCAGGCUGUACUUUCAUGCAAGUAUAUUACAGUAGAUGGAAUUUCACAUAAAGCAGAAACUCUUUAUGCUCCAAUAAUCCCAGGAACUGGAACAGAGAGCAGAGAGAAUCCUACCCCACUGGGUGACAGUGAAUGGAAAUCCCACCCUCUCCAGUAGAGCAGUAAAUCUGCUGAGGGACUGAGGAGAAGGCAGAUAGAGGCAGAUUCACAGAAUCAGAGACUGUCAGAGCUGAAAAGGCCUGAGACAUCAUCUAGAGUGUAGUGUUUCUCAAACUGGUCUGCUAAUCUAGUAUCAGGGAGCCACAAAGUCUCAUCAAGAAAAUUUCUUAGGAAUAGUGAGAAGGGAUGUAAUAAAUAAUUAUUAUUUUUUUAAAUGUUUAAAAAGAAAAAUAUGUGCUCACUUCGGCAGCACAUAUACUAAAAUUGGAAUGAUACAGAGAAGAUUAGUAUGGCCCCUGUGCAAGGAUGACACGCAAAUUCGUGAAGCGUUCCAUAUUUUUAUUAAGAAAAUGUGGCACAUAUACACCAUGGAAUACUA
rnacentral:lncRNA from 1 species